rnacentral:rRNA from 1 species
GUUGAACGCUGGCGGCAGGCUUAACACGCGCAAGUCGAGCGGAGAUGAGGUGCUUGCACAUUAUCUUAGCGGCGGACGGGUGAGUAAUGCUUAGGAAUCUGCCUAUUAGUGGGGGACAACAUUCCGAAAGGAAUGCUAAUACCGCAUACGUCCUACGGGAGAAAGCAGGGGAUCUUCGGACCUUGCGCUAAUAGAUGAGCCUAAGUCGGAUUAGCUAGUUGGUGGGGUAAAGGCCUACCAAGGCGACGAUCUGUAGCGGGUCUGAGAGGAUGAUCCGCCACACUGGGACUGAGACACGGCCCAGACUCCUACGGGAGGCAGCAGUGGGGAAUAUUGGACAAUGGGGGGAACCCUGAUCCAGCCAUGCCGCGUGUGUGAAGAAGGCCUUAUGGUUGUAAAGCACUUUAAGCGAGGAGGAGGCUACUGAGACUAAUACUCUUGGAUAGUGGACGUUACUCGCAGAAUAAGCACCGGCUAACUCUGUGCCAGCCGCCGCAGUAA